rnacentral:rRNA from 1 species
UACGGAGGGGGCAAGCGUUGUCCGGAAUCAUUGGGCGUAAAGAGCGCGUAGGCGGCCCUGUAAGUCCGCUGUGAAAGUCAAGGGCUCAACCCUUGGAUGCCGGUGGAUACUGCAGGGCUAGAGUCCGGAAGAGGCGAGUGGAAUUCCUGGUGUAGCGGUGAAAUGCGCAGAUAUCAGGAGGAACACCGAUGGCGAAGGCAGCUCGCUGGGACGGUACUGACGCUGAGGCACGAAGGCCAGGGGAGCAAACGGG